CUAGUACUCCCUCCGUCCCAAAAAAGUUGUCUCUCAAAUGGAUGUAUCUAGCACCAAGUUAGUGCUAGAUACAUCCAUUUAAGGAACAAGGUUGGGGUAAGUUUUUUCGGACGGAGGGAGUACUAA
rfam:Triticum urartu cultivar G1812 contig571048, whole genome shotgun sequence.